UACAGGCUUAACACAUGCAAGUCGAGGGGCAGCAUGGUCUUAGCUUGCUAAGGCCGAUGGCGACCGGCGCACGGGUGAGUAACACGUAUCCAACCUGCCGUCUACUCUUGGACAGCCUUCUGAAAGGAAGAUUAAUACAAGAUGGCAUCAUGAGUCCGCAUGUUCACAUGAUUAAAGGUAUUCCGGUAGACGAUGGGGAUGCGUUCCAUUAGAUAGUAGGCGGGGUAACGGCCCACCUAGUCUUCGAUGGAUAGGGGUUCUGAGAGGAAGGUCCCCCACAUUGGAACUGAGACACGGUCCAAACUCCUACGGGAGGCAGCAGUGAGGAAUAUUGGUCAAUGGGCGAGAGCCUGAACCAGCCAAGUAGCGUGAAGGAUGACUGCCCUAUGGGUUGUAAACUUCUUUUAUAAAGGAAUAAAGUCGGGUAUGGAUACCCGUUUGCAUGUACUUUAUGAAUAAGGAUCGGCUAACUCCGUGCCAGCAGCCGCGGUAAUACGGAGGAUCCGAGCGUUAUCCGGAUUUAUUGGGUUUAAAGGGAGCGUAGAUGGAUGUUUAAGUCAGUUGUGAAAGUUUGCGGCUCAACCGUAAAAUUGCAGUUGAUACUGGAUAUCUUGAGUGCAGUUGAGGCAGGCGGAAUUCGUGGUGUAGCGGUGAAAUGCUUAGAUAUCACGAAGAACUCCGAUUGCGAAGGCAGCCUACUAAGCUGCAACUGACAUUGAGGCUCGAAAGUGUGGGUAUCAAACAGGAUUAGAUACCCUGGUAGUCCACACGGUAAACGAUGAAUACUCGCUGUUUGCGAUAUACAGCAAGCGGCCAAGCGAAAGCGUUAAGUAUUCCACCUGGGGAGUACGCCGGCAACGGUGAAACUCAAAGGAAUUGACGGGGGCCCGCACAAGCGGAGGAACAUGUGGUUUAAUUCGAUGAUACGCGAGGAACCUUACCCGGGCUUAAAUUGCAGAUGAAUUACGGUGAAAGCCGUAAGCCGCAAGGCAUCUGUGAAGGUGCUGCAUGGUUGUCGUCAGCUCGUGCCGUGAGGUGUCGGCUUAAGUGCCAUAACGAGCGCAACCCUUGUUGUCAGUUACUAACAGGUUCCGCUGAGGACUCUGACAAGACUGCCAUCGUAAGAUGUGAGGAAGGUGGGGAUGACGUCAAAUCAGCACGGCCCUUACGUCCGGGGCUACACACGUGUUACAAUGGGGGGUACAGAGGGCCGCUACCACGCGAGUGGAUGCCAAUCCCCAAAACCUCUCUCAGUUCGGACUGGAGUCUGCAACCCGACUCCACGAAGCUGGAUUCGCUAGUAAUCGCGCAUCAGCCACGGCGCGGUGAAUACGUUCCCGGGCCUUGUACACACCGCCCGUCAAGCCAUGGGAGCCGGGGGUACCUGAAGUGCGUAACCGCGAGGAGCGCCCUAGGGUAAAACUGGUGACUGGGGCUAAGUCAUAACAA
rnacentral:rRNA from 1 species